AGUGAACGCUGGCGGUAGGCCUAACACAUGCAAGUCGAACGGUAGCACAGUAAGAGCUUGCUCUUACGGGUGGCGAGUGGCGGACGGGUGAGGAAUACAUCGGAAUCUACUUUUUCGUGGGGGAUAACGUAGGGAAACUUACGCUAAUACCGCAUACGACCUACGGGUGAAAGCAGGGGAUCUUCGGACCUUGCGCGAUUGAAUGAGCCGAUGUCGGAUUAGCUAGUUGGCGGGGUAAAGGCCCACCAAGACGACGAUCCGUAGCUGGUCUGAGAGGAUGAUCAGCCACACUGGAACUGAGACACGGUCCAGACUCCUACGGGAGGCAGCAGUGUGGAAUAUUGGACAAUGGGCGCACGCCUGAUCCAGCCAUACCGCGUGGGUGAAGAAGGUCUUCGGGUUGUAAAGCCCUUUUGUUGGGAAAGAAAAGCAGCAGGUUAAUACCCCGCUGUUCUGACGGUACCCAAAGAAUAAGCACCGGCUAACUUCGUG
rnacentral:rRNA from 1 species